AGCGAACGCUGGCGGCAUGCCUAACACAUGCAAGUCGCGCGGUCAGCAAUGGCAGCGGCGGACGGGUGCGUAACGCGUAGGAACGUGUCUAGAGGUGGGGGACAACCCUGGGAAACUGGGGCUAAUACCGCAUAUGGGCUGAGGCCCAAAGCCGUGAGGCGCCUUUGGAGCGGCCUGCGUCCGAUUAGCUAGUUGGUGGGGUAAAGGCCUACCAAGGCUCCGAUCGGUAGCUGGUCUGAGAGGACGAUCAGCCACACUGGGACUGAGACACGGCCCAGACUCCUACGGGAGGCAGCAGUGGGGAAUAUUGGACAAUGGGCGCAAGCCUGAUCCAGCAAUGCCGCGUGGGUGAAGAAGGUCUUCGGAUCGUAAAGCCCUUUCGACAGGGACGAUGAUGACGGUAC
rnacentral:rRNA from 1 species